CUCUCUCUCUCUCUCUCUCUCUCUCUCAAGGAAAGGUUGAAGAAAUGGAAGGGAAGGUCCAAGCACGGUCAAAUUGCGAAAAUCGAACCCACCACCGAAGCUCCAUUGCCAAGCUCUGUUUAGAGGGGUGUGGCAUUGCACAACAAAGAUCAUGACUACGGCCAAUAAAUAGUAAAGAGAAGGUGAAGUAACUGCAGCAAGCGAAGAAGUUGUUCGGAUUAAAAAAAAAAGAAAAGCGAAGAGGCUGUUUGAAGAUGCUGCUAGCAAAAGAGGACAUCAAUUCAUAUGAGGACAAUUUGCACAUGCAACUCUUCAAAAAUGAAUUAUCUCAAUCCAUCUGGUGCGCUUAUGUAAUGUACUCUUGGAUGUAACAAAUAAGAGAUCAACAGAAAAUGAAUUAUCUCAAUUGUUGUCUAGAUAUCAUAUGGCUGUAUAAUGUAUCUAUGUUAGAGCUAUGUAAUGGAAGUUUACUGGAAGUUUUUUUCUCUUUUCCGAAGCCAUGUAUCAAUAGUAUGGUUUCUUCUCUUUUCUAUGGACUUUAAGGUGAUGUUAGCAUUAGUAGUGUCAUGCUACCAUUAGUAAUGAAUGAGUGAAAUAUAUAGAUGCCCCUUUUGAAUUA